AAGAGGGUGUCUACAUUUGUAAUGAGACUGAGACUGAGCAUUUUGACCCCUUAAAUUGGUGGAGAGCAAACAACUUGAAGUACCGAAUUUUAUCGAGGAUGGCUUGUGAUAUCCUUGCAAUUCCAGUCACAUCUGUUGCUUCAGAAGCUACUUUUAGUGCCGACGGUCGUGUUAUUGAGCCACAUAGAGCUAAUCUCGGUGCUGAAACCGUUCAAAUGUUGUUGUGUGGGGAAGACUGGUUAAGGAGCUUUUAUGGGAUUAAAAGGAAGAAGAAGGCAAAAAGUGAUGGAGUGACGGAAGUAAACCUUGUUUGAAGUUUGAAGAUAGAUAAAUGACACCACCAGGUAUGACAUAAUAAGGUAGAAGAUUAGAAGAUAUAACUCAAGUCUGAUGGAGGAUAGAAGAGAUGAAUUAAAGAUGAGAAUGUUGAUGUGAAAAGAUUAGAACUAAUUGCAAUUAGUUUGUUAGAUUUUGAUUUUUAGAGUAUUUUUAUUUGAGGAGAUUCUAAUUAAUAAAAUAGUAUUAAAAAGUAUAAGAUGUUAACUUUUUAUUUGGGUUUGGUUAUGUUUUUAUGUUUUAUAAAUUAUAAUUUCUUAAAAAAUAAUAUUUCAUAAUGUUAAGGCUCGUUUGUUAAAAG